AAUAUAUUAUUCAAAGACAUCGUCACCCUUGUGUUUGCAAUUUAUGUGUCAAGAAAUCUGUUACUAAAAGAAUCAUAAAAAAAUCAUCUUGUUUGUGUAUUUCCACUAUAAAAUAGCCCUAUAUAUUUGUUUAUUGCUUCGCAAUAGGGAUUUAUAUACUUGGCAUCUGGUUUAACUUAUUACUUGCCAUUCUUAUGGAAUGUAGAGCACCGUGACUGAAUAGCUGGGUUUUUGUUUGAGCCUAUUCAAGGAGAGGCAGGGGUAUGUAUGAUUGGACAUAAAUCUUUUUACACUAAUGAUGGUUGAUUUUCUUUUUAUACCCAUUGUUUGGGUUAUAAUGAGUUUAUUUCUACUUUUGAUCCAUCCUUAUUGGACUUCAAUGAAAUUGCAAGUUUGUUUGCACAAACGAGUUUCUAUAUCCAGAUUGAUGGCAAUUUGAGAGAGUCUGCCACUGCAAUAUAAUAUGCAAAACAACAAGAAAUAUUACCUAAUCUAUAAAUGCAGAGCAAAUUCCCAAAUUUAAGAUCGAUUCUAUUGAAUUUGAAACACUCACACUAGGGUCCUUGCCGCCAACUUUUCAAGAUUGGCUCUGCUGUUGGUGGUACUUAUUUUAGCUCAUGAAUUGAGGUAGUAGAGGAUGCAGAAUGCAAGUUUAUUUGAAGCCAAGUUUCAUUCAAGGUCAUUGAGUUGGGUUGAUAGAAGUAAUGUUUUGUAUAUGACAAUAUUGAACAAGUAUGUAAAGUUUUCAAAAUGUUGAU